rnacentral:rRNA from 1 species
UAACACGUAGGAUGCAAGCGUUAUUCGGAUUUACUGGGCGUAAAGCGCGUGUAGGCGGUUGGGAUAGUUGGAUGUGAAAGCUCCCGGCUUAACUGGGAGAGGUCGUUCAAAACUUCCCAACUAGAGUUUGGUAGAGGAAAAUGGAAUUCCGGGUGUAGUGGUGAAAUGCGUAGAUAUCCGGAGGAACACCAGUGGCGAAAGCGAUUUUCUGGACCGAUACUGACGCUCAGACGCGAAAGCUAGGGUAGCAAACGGG